UUUUGUGUAAGCAUCGCUAGCUUACUAGACGUACUCAACUGCCCCAGAAUGCACUGCGUCUAUUCAAAAGAACAAUGGAAGCAAUGGCGCUAAACGGGGAGCCGCAGCAGCAGAGCCCACAGCCAUACCGAUGUAAGUGAAUCGUCUAUUACCGAUCGUAUGUGGUCAAAAUAUAUUUGAUUUAUUAGAUUUUUUAGGAUGAACGUAGCUUUGUUGUAGUCCAACAUGUGUUUAAAGUUACCAUUCUUGAUGACUAAAGGGUCAGCCUGUUGAUAGCUAUAUAGCAUGUAAAUACACGGGUAACAGUAAUGCAAGUGAUAUCACCGUAGUUGUAAUUAAUUAACGUCACCAGCUGCGUUUCUAUCCCUCUGCUACCAUCGAUAAAAAGUAUGUGCGUUGAUCGUUUAAGGGACUGAUGAAGACACGGAGGCGCUAAUCAGAUGGAGAGGGGCCAAUGAUGUCUUCUUCACGGGGAGGCGCAAUGCCUCCGUGUCCGGAUUUCAGACCUAUAUAAAGGACAUGGAGCUGGAGGGGAAAGUAGAGGCCCUCUGGGCAAAAAAGAAGUGGGAGAACUUAAAACAGAAAUACAAGGUGAGUCCAGGUAUCAUAUUUUACCUUA